GAGAGUUUAGUUUAAAAAACGUUAGUUAGUCAGAUUAAAAUUAUUUCAAUUGAAAUAACUCUUU
rnacentral:tRNA from 1 species